UGGUGUCUGGUGAGGUGCAAAUUUCAUACCCUGUGGGGGUGCAGCAGACCCCCGUCGGGUUCGAUUCUU
rnacentral:tRNA from 11 species